rnacentral:rRNA from 1 species
CCUACGAGAGGCAGCAGUGAGGAAUAUUGGUCAAUGGACGAGAGUCUGAACCAGCCAAGUAGCGUGAAGGAUGACUGCCCUAUGGGUUGUAAACUUCUUUUAUAUGGGAAUAAAACAGGGUAUGCAUACCCUCUUGUAUGUACCAUAUGAAUAAGGAUCGGCUAACUCCGUGCCAGCAGCCGCGGUAAUACGGAAGGCCCGAGCGUUAUCCGGAUUCAUUGGGCUUAAAGGGAGCGUAGGCGGGCGUGAAAGUCAGCUGUAAAAUCGCGGGGCUCAACCGAGCCCCGCAGUUGACACUGGACGCCUUGAGUUCACAACAGGCAGGGGGAAUUCGUGGUGUAGCGGUGAAAUGCAUAGAUAUCACGAAGAAGUCCGAUUGCGAAGGCAGCUCACUGGACUGCAACUGACACUGAGGCUCGAAAGUGUGGGUAUCAAACAGGAUUAGAUACCCCGGUAGUC